rnacentral:misc_RNA from 1 species
CUAUAGUUACACCUACAAACAUGAUUUCCUUUCAGAAUUUAUUAGUACUACAGGUUGNCAGGUGUUUCAUAGAAAAACGACAGAAAGACUGGGCAAGGCCACGUCAAAUUCUAAGGGAGGAUUCCAGGUGUAACAGGAAGUGAUGGUAAUGUGUUUUUGCAUAACCACCAUGUGAUCCUCGUGUGAUGAUAACGUACAGCUGAGCUGCCUGCUGUCUCGUUAAAGNUUUUUAUCUGGCGUUACGCUAUCGUCUAUAUUAAUUAUUCUACUCUGACGUACGCAUGCGCGGCGAUUAAAAAUUCACUUGUCAGCGCAUGCGGUAUAUGAAGCGGGACUACUCCCAACCACGCCACUUGACUGAGUGUGUUUUGACAAUGAAGUCUACGUUUUUGGGCGUCUUUUGGCAACGUCGGUUGAAAGUAUAUGCUUCAUAUCUACUGUAGUAUAUUCAACUGGUCGUUGUUCCACUGUUUGCAGUCAAGGGCUCAGUGAUGUGACUAACCUUCAGCAUUUGAAAAACGCUGUGCCUUGUUUUCUUCUGUCAGACUGUUAACUUUGGUUAUGAAGAGAAAAACAGCUUUGUGAUUUAUCGGUAAGCCGUCGUUGGANUAGAAUUUCCCUGGGACAAUUCUUGCUAAUAUGACUAAAAAAUUGAGAAGAUGGAUACCUGUUGUACCCUGGUGUUGAAGAAUGGAUGAACAAGAACGGAAUUACUGCUGCCUGGUUCUACUGCUUUCCAGGGUAGGCCUGGAAAAGUUACGACAGUUGUUCAAAAAACAGUGGAAUANUUUGAGUGGAUUUGGUCCAUGGACUGACAACCCUCAGAAUGGAGCAGACUUGUUGACAAGGUUCACCCCACUUCGUUAUGAAANAACCAAGGUNCAGUCAGGUGACACAACAACAUGGGAUUUGUCUCUCCUUGUCAAAGCUCUGUUGUACUCCAGGCCUCCAUUUGUACCCAACUCUGAAGCAACUUUAGUUACUGGCUUGAAAUGUUUGAAAGACACAAGAGAUAUACUCUGCCACACUGGAAGUGGGAGGAUUGCGUCAUCAGAGUUUAAGAAGCUGUAUAGCGAUGCAUGUAAUGCAUUAGUUUCUUUGGGCGCGUCAUGGAAACAAGACCUUCUGAAAGUCAAGAAAGAUGUGGAGAAGAAGGAAUCAUUGUUAUCAAUGGUAAAAGACUGUACUUCACAAGAUGAGGACAUCAUACAAGGGCUUGCAUCAAUAAANCAACGACUUGAUGAGUUAAAGCAGACGAUUGAACAGAACCAGCAACAAACACAAGAAACAUUACAAGUUGUAAUACAAGGACAGUCAGACCUAAAGCAAGGACAAGAUAAAAUAGUCAAAGGGAUUCAAAACCUACACAGAUCAUCAACAUCAAAAUCUCUAGACUUGUCAAGUGAAGAUGUGGAAUUGUAUUCCGUCAACCUCAAGGAAGCNAUAACAAAGCAAACAGAUUUCUUACCAAAAGGACCCGAUCAAUCCAGACUGAAAACUGACGAUAUUUUUACCAAUCUUACUGUUUAUUAUGGAAAACGAAAAUCUCUGCAAGAAAAAACUCAGAAAGAUCAAAGUGUUCUUAAAAGGGCAACUGAGAUAGAACAAUGUGAAGAGAUUUUUGCUGAUCANGAUAACAAUGAAUGCUAUCCAAAGUCAAUAUUAGUUUUCGGAGAAGCUGGAAUUGGAAAANCAUUGUUCUCGCAGAAAAUCGUCAGAGACUGGUCAACAAAUUGCAUAUCGAUCCCUAACAUCAAGUUCGCAUACUUGAUAACGUUCAGGCAGCUUGUUCUGCUUGGCAACAAAGAGCUCACCCUCAGAGAACUGCUUAAUCUCUCUCCNUUACUAAACGAAAUAACCUCAAUAGAUAAUUCACUUAUAGAGUACAUCAUUCAGCAUCCAAAGGAGUUAUUUGUAGUUCUCGAUGGAUUUGAUGAAUACAAAGAGCAAAGCAANUCAGUAAUUGGAGACUUUGAAAGCCAAUUUAACAAUGAUGUCACAAAGAUGCCAGUAGCUGCUCUGAUCAGCAAACUAAUCCGAAAAAAGAUCUUGCGCGACUCAGUCAUCAUGUUAACCUCAAGACCAAAUGAAGCCUUUGAGUUGGACGAAAAACUCCACUUUGACCGCUAUGUACAAAUUACAGGAUUUUCUGAAACACAGGUUCUUCAAUAUGUUGAGAAAUAUUUUAACUCUAAACCAGAAGAAGUGAGAAAGAUGGCAGUCGAAAGAGUCAAAGGAAGCGCACAUUUCAUGUCAUUUGGUCGCGUCCCUUUGAGGUGUUUCCUGAUGUGCGCGGUCAUCGAGUAUGAAAUNCAAAAUAACAUUACUAGAGAUAAUUCAGUUCCUCUAACACUUACACAGUUUUAUUAUGAAGUUAUUUAUUGUAUAGAAAGAAAUAAUAGAGAAAUAAGUAGGCUACUAGAUAAGACAGCCGCUUCAUCCGCUGUAGAGAAAAACUUGAAUAAUUUUGCUAAUCUAGUUGCAAAAUUAGUCGAAGAAAAUCGAUUUACUUUCACACUAAAAGAUUUAGAAGAUCUCAAAUUACCUGAAGAUGAAAUGUCUUACCUUAAAUCAAGUAGUUUAAUAUUUUGUUAUCCUGUUNCCAGUGAUUCUCCAUUCCCACAAACNACUCUUGAAUAUGGUUUCGCCCAUUUUACCAUUCAAGAGUUUUUUGUUGCUUGGCAUUUGGUGAAGAAGCGUGCAAUGGCGGCACAAGAAACCUCUGACAUGGUGCACACAUUCACAAGUGGUUUGUUGGGUUUAGAUCAGNAGAACAACAACGAUNCGUUGAUAGUGGACGUACUUGAUUGUGCACGUAAACAAGUGAAGGGUGAAAGUAAUAGCAGGCGACGCCCUGUGUUAUUGCGCUGUCUCCANGAGUACGGCCAAGNGAAAGAAUUCACANGACAAGAACUGACUGCAAACCGUGACUACAGAUACUGGCGNAAUGAUGGUUGGAUUGAACUACGUGGUNUAACCGACACGGACUGUGCAGCAAUCGCUAUGUUAGUAGAAUCCACUGCUACAUCAAUNUCAUCACCACCAUACACAUUGUACAUCGGUGGAAUGUCAUCGUUAACUUCUUCUGGCAUAAGCACCUUGAUGCCAUCUCUCACUAAACCAACCUGCAAUAUCACCGAACUGAGGCUGGUGGGUUGUCAGUUGAACAACACAUGUGCACAAUGUUUGAGUCAAUAUUUGGCAGACACCAAGUUAAUCAAGCUUAAUCUGGUUGGNAAUAACAUAACUGAUACUGGAGUGACUUACAUCGUGAACAACUUACCCAGUACUUUGACAUGGUUAGACCUGGUUGUUAAUCCAGUAUCCGAUCAAUGUAGAAAAAACACGGAAAGAUUGUGUGAAGAGCGCUAUCCUAGUCUUAAGUUAGGCUUAUAGAUUCACAGCUUUGUAGCGCAUGAUGUAAAUAUAUUUAUGACAGAGAACUCACAUUAAACUAUAAAUACAGCCAACUCUCGCUAUUACGGACACCCUGGGGACCGUAAUUUAGUGUCCGCAGUGCGAGAGUCCGUAGUAACGGGAGUUACUUUCAAUGAUUUCUUUGUAUUUUUCGCCGGGGAUUCAGUAUUCCCUGUCCAUAAUAUCGAGGUGUCCGUGAUAUAGGGGUGUCCGUAAAGCGAGAGUUGACUGUUUAUAUUGUUUUCUGUAUAUUAAUUCCACUUACUGAGGAAAAACUGCUAGAAAUGGAUUAAACAUUGAUGCAAAUAUAUGACUAAAAUAAGUGUGCUCUAUAUUCAAUUUUAUGUUCAAAUCAGGUCAUGUGAUUAUAGCAAAUCAUACUAAUA